rnacentral:rRNA from 1 species
GAUGAACGCUGGCGGCGUGCCUAAUACAUGCAAGUCGAGCGAACGGACGAGAAGCUUGCUUCUCUGAUGUUAGCGGCGGACGGGUGAGUAACACGUGUAUAACCUACCUAUAAGACUGGGAUAACUUCGGGAAACCGGAUCUAAUACCGGAUAAUAUUUUGAACCGCAUGGUUCAAAAGUGAAAGACGGUCUUGCUGUCACUAAUAGAUGGAUCCGCGCUGCAUUAGCUAGUUGGUAAGGUGACGGCUUACCAAGGCUACGAUGCAUAGCCGACCCGAGAGGGUGGUCGGCCACACUGGAACUGAGACACGGUCCAGACUCCUACGGGAGGCAGCAGUAGGGAAUCUUCCGCAAUGGGCGAAAGCCUGACGGAGCAACGCCGCGUGAGUGAUGAAGGUCUUCGGAUCGGAAAACUCUGUUAUUAGGGAAGAAGAUAUGUGUAAGUAACCGUGCACAUCUUGACGGUACCUAAUCAGAAAGCCACGGCUAACUACGUG